AUUGAACGCUGGCGGCAGGCCUAACACAUGCAAGUCGAGCGGUAGAGAGGUGCUUGCACCUCUUGAGAGCGGCGGACGGGUGAGUAAUGCCUAGGAAUCUGCCUGGUAGUGGGGGAUAACGUCCGGAAACGGACGCUAAUACCGCAUACGUCCUACGGGAGAACGCAGGGGACCUUCGGGCCUUGCGCUAUCAGAUGAGCCUAGGUCGGAUUAGCUAGUUGGUGGGGUAAUGGCUCACCAACGCGACGAUCCGUAACUGGUCUGCGAGGAUGGGCAGUCACUAUAAAACUGAGACACGGUCCAGACUCCUACGGGAGGCAGCAGUGGGGAAUAUUGGACAAUGCGCGAAAGCCUUAUCCGGCCAUGCCGCGUGUGUGAAGAAGGUCUUCGGAUUGUAAAGCACUUUAAGUUGGGAGGAAGGGUACUUACCUAAUACGUGAGUAUUUUGACGUUACCGACAGAAUAAGCACCGGCUAACUCUGUGCCAGCAGCCGCGGUAAAAC
rnacentral:rRNA from 1 species